rnacentral:rRNA from 1 species
UGCAGUCGAGCGGACUAUAAAAAGGGGUAACUCUUUUUAUAGUUAGCGGCGAACGGGUGAGUAACACGUGGGUAACCUGCCCUCAGGUGGGGGAUAACUCGGGGAAACCUGAGCUAAUACCCCAUAAGACUACGAGCUGAAAUGCUUGUAGUAAAAGGAGUAAUUCGCCUGAGGAUGGGCCCGCGGCCUAUCAGGUAGUUGGUAGGGUAAUGGCCUACCAAGCCUAUGACGGGUAGCCGAGCUGAGAGGCUGGCCGGCCACACUGGGACUGAGACACGGCCCAGACUCCUACGGGAGGCAGCAGUGGGGAAUAUUGGGCAAUGGGCGAAAGCCUGACCCAGCGACGCCGCGUGGGGGAAGAAGGCCUUCGGGUUGUAAACCCCUUUUGCAGGGGACGACACAGGACGGUACCCUGCGAAUAAGCCACGGCUAACUCUGUGCCAGCAGCCGCGGUAAGACAGAGGUGGCAAGCGUUGCUCGGAUUCACUGGGCUUAAAGGGCGCGUAGGUGGUCUUGUAAGUCAAGGGUGGAAUUUCACAGCUUAACUGUGGAACUGCCUUUGAUACUGCAAGACUUGAGUCAGGUAGAGGAGGGCGGAAUUUCCGGUGUAGCGGUGAAAUGCGUAGAUAUCGGAAGGAAGGCCGGUGGCGAAGGCGG